GAGUUUGAUCCUGGCUCAGGACGAACGCUGGCGGCGUGCCUAACACAUGCAAGUCGAACGAGGUAGCAAUACCUAGUGGCGGACGGGUGAGUAACGCGUAGGUAAUCUGCCCAUUGGUGGGGGAUAACAGUCCGAAAGGGCUGCUAAUACCGCAUAAGCCGGGGAGGGGAAGGCCCUUUUCGGGAAAGAUUUAUUGCCGAUGGAUGAGCCUGCGUCUGAUUAGCUAGUUGGUGGGGUAACGGCCCACCAAGGCGACGAUCAGUAGCUGGUCUGAGAGGACGAUCAGCCACACUGGAACUGAGACACGGUCCAGACUCCUACGGGAGGCAGCAGUGGGGAAUUUUCCGCAAUGGGCGAAAGCCUGACGGAGCGACGCCGCGUGGGUGAUGAAGUCUUUCGGGAUGUAAAGCCCUUUCAGCAGGGAAGAAGACAGUGACGGUACCUGCAGAAGAAGCAUCGGCUAACUACGUGCCAGCAGCCGCGGUAAGACGUAGGAUGCAAGCGUUGUCCGGAUUUAUUGGGCGUAAAGAGAACGUAGGUGGCUAUUUAAGUCUGAGGUGAAAGCCCACGGCUCAACCGUGGAUCCGCCUUGGAUACUGGGUAGCUUGAGGAGCGCAGAGGAAAGUGGAAUUCCCAGUGUAGCGGUGAAAUGCGUAGAUAUUGGGAGGAACACCAGUGGCGAAAGCGACUUUCUGGGCGUUUCCUGACGCUGAGGUUCGAAAGCCAGGGGAGCAAACGGGAUUAGAUACCCCGGUAGUCCUGGCCGUAAACGAUGGAUACUAGGUGUAGUUGGUAUCGACCCCGACUGUGCCGAAGCUAACGCGUUAAGUAUCCCGCCUGGGGAGUACGGCCGCAAGGCUGAAACUCAAAGGAAUUGACGGGGGCCCGCACAAGCGGUGGAGCAUGUGGUUUAAUUCGAUGCAACGCGAA
rnacentral:rRNA from 1 species